AUGAACGCUGGCGGCGUGCCUCAUACAUGCAAGUCGAGCGAACAGACGAGGAGCCUGCUCCUCUGACGUUAGCGGCGGACGGGUGAGUAACACGUGGAUAACCUACCUAUAAGACUGGGAUAACUUCGGGAAACCGGAGCUAAUACCGGAUAAUAUAUUGAACCGCAUGGUUCAAUAGUGAAAGACGGUUUUGCUGUCACUUAUAGAUGGAUCCGCGCCGCAUUAGCUAGUUGGUAAGGUAACGGCUUACCAAGGCAACGAUGCGUAGCCGACCUGAGAGGGUGAUCGGCCACACUGGAACUGAGACACGGUCCAGACUCCUACGGGAGGCAGCAGUAGGGAAUCUUCCGCAAUGGGCGAAAGCCUGACGGAGCAACGCCGCGUGAGUGAUGAAGGUCUUCGGAUCGUAAAACUCUGUUAUUAGGGAAGAACAAAUGUGUAAGUAACUAUGCACGUCUUGACGGUACCUAAUCAGAAAGCCACGGCUAACUACGUG
rnacentral:rRNA from 1 species